ensembl:antisense 1700058P15Rik RIKEN cDNA 1700058P15 gene
AGAUCUUUGGGGCCAGCAGAACAGUAUUGGAGAACAUCCAGGAGCAAGCUUGCCAAAUGUACAUAGUCUCCUGCCAACUGUGACUAGAGAUGGAUAGCUCGAGCCACUGAGGAUUCUGGGGACUCAGCAGGAAUGAGUGAUAGACUGAGGGGCAAGCAAGGACAAGCUACAGUUCACACUCUGCCACUCAACAGGACCCCUUCCCACUGCUAAAUUCCAGGAGAGGUUGGAAAGUUAAAGAAGGGGCCUGCAAGAUAGCUCAGCAGAGAGAGAUGCUUGUACCAGCAGAACCACCUGAUUUAAUCCCAAAGACCUCUGUGAAGGCUGAUGGAGAGAACUGAGUCCUGCAGCUUAUCCUCUAACCCCCACAUAAACAGACAUACACAGUGAAUAAAUAAAUGUAGCAAGACUUU